AGUGAACGCUGGCGGUAGGCCUAACACAUGCAAGUCGAACGGCAGCACAGUAAGAGCUUGCUCUUACGGGUGGCGAGUGGCGGACGGGUGAGGAAUACAUCGGAAUCUACUUUUUCGUGGGGGAUAACGUAGGGAAACUUACGCUAAUACCGCAUACGACCUACGGGUGAAAGCAGGGGAUCUUCGGACCUUGCGCGAUUGAAUGAGCCGAUGUCGGAUUAGCUAGUUGGCGGGGUAAAGGCCCACCAAGGCGACGAUCCGUAGCUGGUCUGAGAGGAUGAUCAGCCACACUGGAACUGAGACACGGUCCAGACUCCUACGGGAGGCGGCAGUGGGGAAUAUUGGACAAUGGGCGCAAGCCUGAUCCAGCCAUACCGCGUGGGUGAAGAAGGCCUUCGGGUUGUAAAGCCCUUUUGGGAAAGAAAAGCAGCAGGUUAAUACCCCGCUGUUCUGACGGUACCCAAAGAAUAAGCACCGGCUAACUUCGUG
rnacentral:rRNA from 1 species